CUCCGCGCCUGGCUCCGCGCGGCCAAGUCCAGCUUCCGAUCCGCCGGAGGCUCUUGCGGCAGUGGCCAGCCCCCGAGUGGGAGUCGGUCAGCUCCCACCGCCACAACGGCCACUAGUAGUCUCCACUCACCAAAGCAGCCCAGAAGAGAACAAAAUAAAACUAUUGCCCUCGAUAGGGACAAUUGCGGAUUUUCUCAACUGCAAAAACUGUUAAAAAAAAAAAAAUCUUCCGACACAAGUUUGCUGCUUUCAUUGAUUUUUAAAGUAACUAUAUAAAUCUAGGUGAAGAGAGUCCACUUAGAUCUUUCUAUGAAAACUAGCUUCAAAACAAACUUGAGAACAGUUUCUUACUCAAGGCAGCCCUGAAUCACCUCCCAUUUGGAAAUCUUGGAGCCUCUACUUUCCCAACCCCUGUUGAGUGCCUGAACUUGGAGCUCCCCAAAGUAGGACGGUCCAUGUUGGGAGAUCAACCCCAGUAGUUCGGGAUACACACGCCCUUCUGGACAGCUCAGAAGAUUCUCCCUAAAUGCCCAACGCACACCCACUAGAAUUGGAAGAACGUGAUGGUGUUUCGAGGAGUCACCCGGCAUAAAAGGAUCAGUGAGUGACCACAGAGAUGAAAAGGGUCCCACCUCAUAGCCACCUCCGAGACACUCACUUCCUCUGACAGUCAUGGCAAGUGGACCUCAGAGGAAGAAAUGCCUGAGUUUGAGUGACUCCUCUGGACAGUGUCCUGGAAAUGAUAAAGCUUCCUCUCCAAGUUCUGUAUGUUCUUCAACGGACAGACUAGCCCCACCCCCAAGCCUUCAUACUGGAAACGGUGCAGGAGGCAGAGCUAAGUGGAGAAAAGUGCCGAGAAGCAUGAGAUCUCGAAGAAAACAGUGUGCAAAACUCCGAGAGAGAAAAAAAUCAUCACACAAAGUUUCCCAAAUAAACUUCAUGUUACAGAGCUAAGGUUCUGUGUGAACCAGA